AAGGUAGCUUGCUACCUGACCUAGCGGCGGACGGGUGAGUAAUGCUUAGGAAUCUGCCUAUUAGUGGGGGACAACGUUCCGUAAGGAACGCUAAUACCGCAUACGUCCUACGGGGGAAAGCAGGGGAUCUUCGGACCUUGCGCUAAUAGAUGAGCCUAAGUCGGAUUAGCUAGUUGGUGGGGUAAAGGCCUACCAAGGCGACGAUCUGUAGCGGGUCUGAGAGGAUGAUCCGCCACACUGGGACUGAGACGCGGCCCAGACUCCUACGGGAGGCAGCAGUGGGGAAUAUUGGACAAUGGGCGCAAGCCUGAUCCAGCCAUGCCGCGUGUGUGAAGAAGGCCUUUUGGUUGUAAAGCACUUUAAGCGAGGAGGAGGCUCCUUUAGUUAAUACCUAAAGUGAGUGGACGUUACUCGCAGAAUAAGCACCGGCUAACUCUGUGCCAGCAGCCGCGGUAAUACAGAGGGUGCGAGCGUUAAUCGGAUUUACUGGGCGUAAAGCGUGCGUAGGCGGCUUUUUAAGUCGGAUGUGAAAUCCCUGAGCUUAACUUAGGAAUUGCAUUCGAUACUGGAAAGCUAGAGUAUGGGAGAGGAUGGUAGAAUUCCAGGUGUAGC
rnacentral:rRNA from 1 species